GCCCGCCCCCUCCCCAGACUCCCCAGGGCUUCCUCGCCGCCCCCUCACUUCCUCCUUCCCCAGCGUGGACACUAGCGGGUUGAGGGCCGGCUGGACCGCCCGGUAUCCUAUUGUUGACUGGGGCACAAGGUCGGACUUACACACCUUUCCACCUGUGAGACCCUUCCGUUUUGCAUUUGGCCUGUCUGCCAUCAUUCCCUGGCCCUGUGUGGAUUCCAAGUCCUGUGAUGCCUUGCUGUUAGAAUGCUCCCUCAAGCUGUAAAUGAUAAAGGACUCAGUGUCUCUGCUGGUGUAAUCCUGUCUUCUUCUGAGAUGAAUGAGGAUUAUCCAAAUCUUCAAGUUCUGAUUCCUUUACCUCCAGUUUAUGUCUCUCCUCUUGCAUCUUACUGUUGGAAGCAAGGAGACAGCACCUCACAUGAUGGAAGCAGGUGCGUGGCCUUUCUGGCUGGCAAACUCCACGAUGCCUAGAGUGGAAGACUCUUCUCACUGCCCCUCCAUCCCAGAGCUCAUGAUGGGAGGCUACCAUGAUAGCAGAGGGCUGGUUACAGACACUUUCACAGCAAAGUGCAUGAGUACAUGCAUGUGUGUAUGUUCAGAAAGUGGCAUAGGAUUGAUUGGAUUGCCUCCCAAUGACACAGAAGUGCAAGCCUCUAAGGCCCUUCUCUCUCCAGAGACGGGAGUCUCCCUGUGAUAUAGACGGGGUGCUGCCUGGGAAGGAGCUCCAGCAAUGUGUGAGGAGUGAACUCGCCAACCUCCAUCCACCUGCAGGGUGAUUGAGCCAAGAGAUCACAGCUUAUAGGCUGCCCACACGCAGAUUCCCUGCUGCCUGUCCCAGAACUCUGAUCAAGAUUGAACUUUUCAUCACAGUCUCCAACAGCUUCUGGAUUGACAUUCUUACUGGAAGGUAGGGCUGUUUUUCUCAUGUGUGGAAAAAGAUAAAGGAAGUUUAUUUUAAAAGUCCAGGGCAUCCAGAGCUGGUUCCCUUUAGCAGGGAACAGGAUGAGGUUUUCAUGUGUCCCAACAUCCACUAUAUUUUUAGUCAGGAAAAUUGACUCUCUCCUUCUCUUUGCAGACAUAAAUCCCGUCAUUGGCAUCUUGGUUCACAGAAAUGUGAAAAGAGAGUUUCAGUAUGGACUCACCUGGGAAAAUGUGGGUUAUUCUUGGAGCAGAAAUACCCCAGGACAAAAUUGUGGUGAUGUAGAGUUGCAUCGGGCCAAGUGGGCCCCCCACGCACUGUGUUUCUUGUAGACCCAGCAGCCCCAAGCUUUCCCUCUUCACAGUUUGGGGGAGGAAACCUAGCAGCUAAACCAAAGUCAAUUCUGUACCACACAAUUCAGGGUUUUACUUUACCACCAAACCACGUGGUCACAGGGACAUAAUGGUAAACACAGUGACUACUUCCUUUGUUUCAAUUAGUUUCCUUCCUUUGUUUCAAUUCUGGAAGGAGGGUUGAACUCACCCAAAACACAGCAGUUUCACUCAACCAGAGUUCAAACUGCAGCUGAUUAUUGCCAUGGAUACUGAGGAAAAUAAACAACGUAUUCUCCUUAAAGUGGAUUAUAUGACGAUUGCCUAAGAUCAGCUAUAAUGGCCGAGGGCUCUUAGAAAUACAGUUAUAUUUUCUGGUCAGGAUAUUGAAGAGAAUUUUCAUUGGAUAUUUUUGUUUUUUUAUUGUAAGAAACCUGUUUAGGUUUGACCCACAGGUAAUCCAUCUGCCCAGUCAUUUGGAAACGCUAGGACCGAGCAUUCAGAGGGACUGAUGUUCCUAACUGCACUUCCUAAUCUCUGCAGGCUUAUAGCAUGAAGGACACUGAUGCAUUUUACACCAUUUACUCUAUGAAAUGUCAGUGGAUUGCAUUAGAUGACUGAAUUCAGAUGUUCUUGUAGUGAAAGCAUAUUAAAGCGUGUGGACUUAGGACCCACUGGGGAGAGAGUGUGCUUGUUGGGGACUGUGAAUUAGACUUUCCUAGACAGCAAUAUUCAUGAAGACAGUAGACCUAUGACUCAAAUAGGGAGAUCACAGAAGUUUUGCUUAAUGCUAUUAUCAGGUCAGUAAUUAUUUGCUUCAUAGAAGCACAAUGAAUAGGAAUGAUAACCAUGUCUCACUGCUCCUGUAUAAAAAUUCUAUGUGUCUCCAACUCUGUGUACCUUCUCUCAGACCAUUGCUCACUACAUGGAUCUUUCAACUUAUCUGUUACAUAUAUUGUCUAGCACAUGCCUAUCUAUAUAAACCAAUCACUUUUUCAAUUUCUCUGCUUUUUCACAGUGUGUGCAUUGAUGGCCUGUGUAUUUUAAUCCUCAGGUGGUUUGGUAUAUAAAUCUCAAAUCUGGUUCAGUAUAUGAUUCUAAUGUCUCUCCUAUGUUUGUAUAUUUCCUUUCAAUGCAUUUAGUAUUUUCAUGACUGAAUAUAUUUGUCUUUCUUUCCGGAUAACAAGUCAACCUAUUAUAUUUGUUAGUUUGCAUAAUUUUAUCUUUGUCUGUUGUUUCUCUAAUUCCAGUGUCCAAAUGCUCACUUCACUCACUUUGUUAUUUUUCCAGUGGUUAUGAGACCUGAUUUUCUUCCCACAGGAAUAAAACAGGAAUGACAAAGAAAGGUGACUCUCAGGUAGGGAGGAAUGAGAGGGACAAAUUCUAGCAACCCAGCAGGGUUUAUCUUGCUGGGCUUCUCUGAGCAGCCCGAGCUGGAGAAGGUCCUCCUUGUGGCCAUCUCCAUCAUAUAUGUACUGACGCUGGUGGGGAACACAGCCAUCAUCCUGGUCUCCUUCUUGAACCCCAAGCUGCACACGCCCAUGUACUUCUUCCUGUCGAAUCUGUCCUUCCUGGACCUCUGCUUUACAACGAGCAUUGUCCCGCAGAUGCUGGUGAAUCUCAGGGGCCCGGAGAAGACCAUCAGCUACACGGGCUGUGUGCUCCAGCUCUAUGUGGCGCUGGGGCUGGGCUCCACUGAGUGCAUCCUCCUGACGGUGAUGGCUUAUGACCGCUUCAAUGCCAUCUGCCGCCCCCUGCACUACGGCGUCAUCAUGCACCCCAGGCUGCUCCGGCAGCUUGCAGCUGUGGCCUGGAGCAGUGGUUUUGUGGAGUCCACGCUUCAGACCAUCCUCGUCUUCCAGCUGCCUCUCUGCAACCACCACAGGGUGGAUGAUUUCAUGUGUGAGGAGCCCGCCCUGAUUAAAAUUGCCUGUGUGAACACCACCUUCCUGGAGAACGAGCUCUCCAUAGCCAUCGUCCUCUAUGUGGUCAUACCGCUGGGGCUGAUUCUUGUCUCCUACGGCUGCAUCGCCAGGAGCGUGCUGAGAAUCAGGUCCACGGAAGGCAGGAGGAAAGUGUUUGGGACCUGCGGGUCCCACCUGCUGGUUGUGAUUUUGUUCUUCGGGACUAUAAUUUCUGUCUACAUCCAACCCAAGAGCGAGUACACGCAGAACCACAGUAAAUUUCUCACCCUCUUCUAUACUGUAGUGACGCCCUCGCUUAAUCCUCUCAUCUACACGCUGAGAAACAAGGAGGUUAAGUGGGCUCUGAGGAGACUGCUGUGGAGGGACCCACAUCAGGGAGAACCGUGACACGUACUCAGCCAUUCCCCAGGUGCCGAGGACUUACACAUCCCGCAUCUAAGGGUCACAGCUUCAGCUCCGCAGUAAAACAGGUGUGACAUUUCCUUUCAAUGGCGUCCUGAAGUUGCUACCCUAAGCCCUUAUUUUCAUCCUCCUUUCCCGAACUGUUAUGUGUCUUUUUCUGGCUAAUUUGUAAAGAUUCUGUGUAUACAUGAACACGUUUAGAGACAGGAGCAUGUGCACAUGAAUCAUACUUCCAGGAAUCCCGGAAUUAUUGCUCUGGUAAUGAACUAUCGCCAUGAGCAGACAGAAGCCAGCUCCAGCUCGUGCUGGUCAUGAGGUGGGUCUAGCUGAGGUGGGUCUAGCUGAGGACAGGGCUCUGCAGCAGGGGCUGCGUCUGCAGCUCGCCGGCCGGUUAGGGCCCUGCACACCCACAGCUACCUGACGGUUUGUCUUAUCAGGGGUUGUUGAUUCUCACAUAUUCAGCAGGGCGUCUGGGAUUCCAUGCACCUGGGACCAUUCUGAUCUCUCCCAGCCACAGAGAAAGUCUCCAAGGAGAACGACCAACGUGACUGUUUCUCUACUACACGUCUCUUGUUACUACAGAGCAGCCCCCAAUCUCUUGAUUGACCCCUUAGUGCUAUACCUGAAUUGAGGGCAAAUAAACACAAUUUGAAGUAUUGUCAUUAAGUGUGAAUAUUUAAAUCUCCCAAAAGUAGGCAGAUUUAUUUAUAAAUAAAAGUGUUUGUCUUUGCCAUUAUAACAUUCCCUUUCACAGAUAUUGUAAUUUCAUAGAAUUUAUAAAAUGUUUUUCUUCAUAUUGAAUAUGAAGUUUUUAUCUGUUCUGAUAACACAGCUGAAAAUCUGGGUAAUUUUUAAAGUGUGAAAAUAUUGGCCAUGCUUUUCCUAUAUUCAUAAUAGUUAUCGAUUUAUAAAAUAUUAUCAAAAUCCUUAUUGGCUUUAAUUCUAGAGACUACUUCAACAUACUUACAAUGUGUUAUUGUUUUAUAAAUGUGGUUUUAUAAAAAAAUAAAUGCUUUUAACAGAGAUUAAUCCUAAGCAAUUAUUUUAAUACAGAUAAGUAACUCUAGCUGAAUAUAGUAAGUUGAAUGGAAUGAUUUAAAAAAAAAUGACCUCAUUGGAGGAAAAAAAAACAUGAUCUACUAAGAAGACAUUGACAAGGUGCCUUAGGUGUUGUUUAUACAAACUAGUGCUUCUAUUUCUCUGUUUAUAUGAUACAAUUUGAUUGACAUUUGAUGGAAAUUGGAUUAAUUGUGGUCAGAGUUAAAUAAAAUAUUUUUAUAGAUGGAUUAGGACAGCCAAAUACCUAAUCAGCAGUAUGAUUACCCAAAUCAUUUAAAAUGUUAUAAUUUCAAAUAGACAAUAAAUGAAAGCACUAAUAAAAAUGGUAUCCUUAUGUCCCCAAUAAGGCUAAAAAAUUUAAUAUUUUCUAUAUAUUUUCUACAUUUUUAGUAGUCAUACCUAGAGGUAUCCAUGAUUAUCAGUUUGUGUACAUUUAUCCAAAAACAUUUAAAAAUACUUUAAAGUAAAAAUAUAUAGAUAUUAAUGGUUUUAAAUUUACAUAAAUAAUAUUAAACUACAUGUAUCACUUACACUAGUUUAAGAACUAAUUACAAAGAUAUUCAGAUUAUUUAAUCGUAUGCAUGUAUCUCAUUUUAUUAAGAAUAUUUAUAUUGUCUCAAGUUUUUUACUCUUUCCAACCAUGCUGCAAUAAACAUUCUUGUGUGUAGAUGCCAGCUUUUACCUACUUUUGUGGGAAUGAUUCUGUGUGGUCAGUAACUACAUGUGGAAGCCUUCAGGUAAAGGAGAUGCCCAUUAGAAACCACAGAAAUCCACUGAUGUGGCACAAAUUUCCGCAGGAUCCAAAAAACUUCCACCCCUUGCAUUUUGUUGGUGUUUCUCAUGUACGGACAUUUCCGGCGGAGGGCAGGUACCUGGCAUCUGCAAACACUGAACUCUGCAGGAACAUCAACUCCUGACAAAAUAGCCCUCGUUCCAUUUGUGGACGUCCUGAACUCUGGGUUGUUCUUUGAAAACGUCAUUGAGUCAAAGCUCCAAGCCAGGUCUGCCGUCCCAGGGGUGGGAGAGCAGGGAGGUCGCAUGCCUGUUGGCCUGGACUCUAUCUGCUCUAGCGUCACCUGAGAUCCUGUUUGUGCAUUUGUUCAUAACACAUCACUGUUUAUCGCACAGUAACGUGUGAUGCCGGCACACGUAACACAAAAGCGCUUCCUGAGGUUGCACGUUAUUGUGGAUAGACAAGUACAUGAGGUGCACUCACGAAAACCUAGCACAAAAAUGUGCAUUCUUGCAUACACACGUACACCCACACACAGAAACACACAUUCCAAUCCACACCGAGUAGCAUAGUAAUCACGAGUGUUUUGGAGCUAUUCUAUCUGGGUUCAAAUCCUAAUGCAGCCAUCUAGGGCUGGGUCAAAGUCAACAUUUCCUGGAACUAUCUGUUCCUCAAUUUUCCCAUUUGGAAAAGGAGGUGACAGUGGUAUGUCCCUAACGGGGUUGCUAUGAGAUUGAGUUAAUUCCCACGAAAGCACCUAGAAAGUGGUUCAAUGCGCAGUGAGCAUCAGCCAUGGCAGCAGCUGAGUCCAGGUGCACUGUGGUGUUCGUCACCAUAGAUUUACCUUCACACACACUCCCUCUUGUGGGAUUUUCAUCCAUCCCUGGUCAUUUCUCCUGCCUCUUCUUCAUCCCCAUGUCAUGUUUUGCUGUGCACCUGCCGUGAUGGAAAGAGGAACAGCAGAAAACACACACACACCCAUACACACAUAAAGAUGCCUCCUGAGUGUUAUGUCCUGAAAAAAGACAGUUAUGUUGUGGAUCGUUUCAAUCUACUAAUUUGGGUGUCCACGGAGCUAUGCAAAAGGCCCAAAGCUAAGGAUGGGAACAAGUGAUCUGAUCCAAAACUGGGAAAUAAGAAAUAACAACUCUGUCUAAUGACAGGGGCUCCCACAUCAAGUAGUCUAUUAUAAGGUACUUACACAGAUAUUAAAGCAUUUAUAAACCUUUUUCCUGCAUUGAAAUUGUUUUUAACAUCUAUGUUUCCCAUGAAAGCACACAACUCCGUGAA